GAAAGGAGAGAAGGUAUCAAAACAUUCACCUCAAAAAAGGAGCACAACCAUUUGAAGUGAAAUGAAGUGAAGCACAUUAUGCGGUAUUUCUCUUCUCUCUCUCUCUCUUUCUUUUCCUUUUUUUCCCCUUUCCCACCAAUGUCGUGUGU
rnacentral:ribozyme from 1 species